GAUAGUUAAAUUGUCAAAAUUUCCAUUGGGGUUUUUGACAGAACAGAGUGUAACUGAAAACAUACUGAGCUUUUGAUUUCUAAUGUUUUCUAAUCAGGGCUCAUUUGAGGAAGUUCCUGAUGAAGAAGCCAAGAAAAAAGUAGAAAUAAGUGGUAAGACACGGCCAACAUGGUUCCUUGGAAGUGAAGAUCAUUCUGUUCAAUCUCAGCCAAGCAGUGCCAAUGGAAAACGAGGGAUCCGGGAGGGGAUGAAAAUGUUAGUUGCUUCCUCACUGUUUGGAGUCGGUCGAACUUCUGAAUCCUCACAAACACCACCACAACCUCCACCUAGUGUCCCUAUAAUGCCGAGAAACACUUCAGCAUCUCCUUCCACCCCUAAGUAAGUGACGUCUGUUUAAUAUGAUACAUCCUCUCAAAAUUAAAGUUUUUCUUCAUUUCUGAAAGUUAAAAAUACAGUAAGAUUUUGGUUUUCAAAACCCUCUGUACCUCGGUUUCCCUUUUUUCAAGCCAAUAUGGAAUUCCCUCAUAAGAGGGAAGAUAGCGUAAAUGCAAGCCUAAUGUUGUGAACCUGAAAAUGAGUAUUCUGUCGACUUUUAUCAAAAUUUAAAAUAAAAUAAUUUCAUAGUUCACCAAGUAUGAAUUAACAUACAAAUUGAAAAAUCAAGAAGGUAAGUAUCAUUGGACAUUGUUAGUCUUCACAGUCUGAAGUUUUGAAACGGAUGUAAUUUGAAAGUCGAGAUUUUCCUAAAAAUUAAAUUUAUUUUAGUUUUAUUCCUGAGGUAUUGUAGACAAUGCAUUAAUUAACUUAAAGCUAAAAAUAAAGACCUGAUUGGUACUGAGUAUAGGCUUUUCCAUGAUAUGGUCUGAGAUGACUAUCAUUACCUCAAUUUUUUAACACCUACAUAUCGAUGGCCAAAGUGUGGAACCACGUAUCCCCCUUGCAGUGUUUCAAAAUUUCCGCUCCUAUUUUAUUUUUUUGGAAGCAAACAAGCCAAUUUUAUAGCUUUACAUUUUUACAGGAUAUUCUGCUAAUCCAGAAAAAAAUUAAGGAAGUUUAUGAUAAGAAGUCUGCAGCGUUGUAAACGGAGAAAGAAGGUUUUGCACCUUGGCCAUCGAUAUUAUGAGAAGAAGAGUUGAUUUUAGACUUCAGUUGUGUAACUCAAUUUAAUUUUGAAGCGGUAGACCUUGGAGAUGCGAGAUCUUUAUUCUUUGAGAUAUGUCACUUGCCUCAAGUCUUGUUUCUUGUUUCAAACAGGUUCAUUGACAAAGAGCCAGUGAUGGACUGGACAGAUAGCUUUGUCACCAGGCAGAUGGCUUUGAAGCCUGCUCACCACCCAAAAUGCAACAUUGAUCAUACUGUCAUGAUCACAACUCCCCCGUGGCAGUUGGAGUCCCUGCAUGGAAAAAAUAAGUUUCCCCCAUCGAGUGAACUCAAACCCCCACAGAUUGUCAGCAGGAAUAAUAGCAUUGGUCAGUCAAACUCCUUAUCUUGUUAUCAUUAAUUAUGAAUAGCAUAUAAGGUGCUUGAUUGGGUAUCACUGUCAAUGUCGUAGGUCUGAAUGGGAGCUUAAAAUGCAUUAAAUAUUCUUGCUCAACAAUUGAAAACUGCGGUUAGAGCGAAAACAGAAGUCAUUUCGUUAUUUCAAUGCAAAAUGGCUUUUAAAUUGCAAUGAGCAUACUAGCAAAGUUUGAAAUCCACUGCUUACUGUACAAUUUUACGCUCAUUUUCACAAAAAUUGUAAGGAGAUCUGUAAAAUUUUAAACUUCGUCUCUCAAACUGCCACCAAAACAAAAGUUGAGAUAAUUCAUGAUGCAAUAAGAAUGCCAGUGCCAUUGGUGAAACCAAGCAAUCGAUUAAAUAAAAUCAUUAUGUGGUAUAUAUGUUUAAAUCAGCAGUUCAAUUGGCGUCAGCACUAAAAAUGAAGCUCUUUUACAUCAAUGAGAUGUCUUUUGUUUGCAACAGUUUCUGAAAAAUAGUAUCAAUCGCAUUUUGUUCAAAGUUGUUUUGUUGUGGAUGGUAGGGUUUAUUUUUGCAUGCAAAAGGAAACCCCUGUAUUAAUGAUUAAUUUGCUACGAAUUGCUUCAGAGGACGUUUUUGUGUUGUUUAACCAAGCCUGUGUUAAAAAACUUUGUCCUAGGUUGUUGUUGUUCGUUGUGCUUUCAUUAGUUGUUCAAAACUGAAAAAAACAAGAAUAAGGCACAGCAUAACUUCACUGAUUUGAAUAACAUACGUCUUUCUUUACUUAUUUCUAAUUUUUUCCAUAUUUACAGCCUCUAAGACAGUACCACCACGAUCUCCAAUUCCAAAAGAAGAGGUUUAUGCGUCUCCAGAAUCACCUCUGUCUAAGAUGGAUGUCCACAUGGUCGGUAAGUCUGCAGUUGAGUGAUUUCUUUUGCAAGAUGUACUGAAUGCCUCUGAAGUGCUUUUAAAAGCAACCAAGUUCUUUCUAGACCUGUGCAAAUAUGGAUU
rnacentral:lncRNA from 1 species